rnacentral:sRNA from 1 species
UUGAAGAAGGACAUGUCAUAGCGCUCAG